UCCCUGGUGGCUCGGACGGUAAAGCGUCUGCCUGCAAUGCGGGAGACCCAGGUUUGAUCCCUGGGUCGGGAG
rnacentral:tRNA from 1 species